rnacentral:rRNA from 1 species
AUGAUGGAUAGGCCAAGUACUUCUACCAACCCACUCUUCAUCGAGCAAGAUGACGACAUGUCAUCAUUCGUCACCAAGAGCCACCUCUUUGGUGCACAACGAGCGUUGCAUCAAGAGCAACAAGCGAUGACUGACCGCAUUGACAACCUCGCCACCGACUUGCGACUCUCCGAGCAACGUACAAAAGACUACUUCGACAACAAGCUCGACGCUCACAAGCAAGAGAACGAUGCAAGAAUGGACGAGAUCCACGCCUUGUUGGUGAACCGUCCUCCUUCAACUUCUUCGUACUCAAGACGGAGCCGCUCAAGUCGACACUCCGACGACACCUUCUCCGGCUCAAGUACACCGACAUCGAACACUCUUCGACGAGCCGCGCGUCAAGACCGUCAUGCAUCUCGCAAUCCUCUACACGACGAGCAUUCACAAGAGCAAGUCGACGAGCAAGUACUUCGUCCUCAACCACACCAAGUUGCUUUUGCUCAAGCUCAAGAACGACAACGUCAACGGCACCAAGAGGAAGAACGAGCACGUCUACAUCAAGAGGAACAAGACGCCGAGGCUCAACGUCUUCAACAACAACAACGUGAAGCACAAGCUCUUGAGGCGCAACGUGCCCUUCAAGAAUCAAGUCGAGCCAUCGCCAACCGCAAUCGAGAUCGGCGCAAUCAAGAGGAAGCACUUCGAGAAGAAAUCCAAGAGCGAAACUACCAACCGUGCGUGCAACGUCAAGUUCCUCAAGCUCCUCCACAAGCUCGACAAGCUCCACCUCAACCUCAAGUUCAACAAGAGCUAGUUGAUCAUGGACUUCCUCCACGCCAAGAGCAACAUGACGAUGAUUAUCCGCCACGUCAAGGGCGUCAUCAUCACCAUCGCCAACAACACAAUGAAGAGCAACGCUAUGGCAAGCUAAAAUUCACCAUGCCCAAGUUCAAUGGAAGCAAUGAUCCCGAAGAGUACCUCUCAUGGGCAUUGAAGGUCGACAAAAUCUUUCGUUUGCACAACUAUGAGAAAGAGAAGAAGAUCGCUAUGGCAUCCCUUGAGUUCCAAGACUAUGUGCUCAUAUGGUGA